rnacentral:rRNA from 1 species
UACGUAGGGUGCGAGCGUUGUCCGGAAUUAUUGGGCGUAAAGAGCUCGUAGGCGGUGUGUCACGUCGUUCGUGAAAACCGGCAGCUUAACUGUGGGCUUGCAGCUGAUACGGGCGGGCUAGAGUUCGGUAGGGGAGACUGGAAUUCCUGGUGUAGCGGUGAAAUGCGCAGAUAUCAGGAGGAACACCGGUGGCGAAGGCGGGUCUCUGGGCCGAUACUGACGCUGAGGAGCGAAAGCGUGGGGAGCGAACAGG